rnacentral:rRNA from 1 species
UACAGAGGGGGCAAGCGUUGUUCGGAAUUACUGGGCGUAAAGGGCGCGUAGGCGGCCUGUUAAGUCGAACGUGAAAUCCCUGGGCUCAACCCAGGAACUGCGUCCGAUACUGGUUGGCUUGAAUCCGGGAGAGGGACGUGGAAUUCCAGGUGUAGCGGUGAAAUGCGUAGAUAUCUGGAGGAACACCGGUGGCGAAGGCAGCCCCCUGGGCCAAUACUGACGCUCAGGCACGAAAGCGUGGGGAGCAAACAGG